GCUGUGGUCUUCAGCUCGACCCAGUUGAUUGGGUCUUCUUUGCGAACGGGUUUGGAGUCCCAGACUUGCAGCAAAUUAGACAAUAAGACACAGAAGAGGAACUGGUGGUCACUCACUUGCAUCCACCUCGCCUCCAAGUACCAAUUUCACCCUUCCAAAACCAGUCCGUACAACGGAGCAAUAUUGAGCUUUGUUGUUGACGACUUCGUGAAUUCGCCCUUCAAUCUUUUCGCGACUUGUUUCACCCCAGGCAUUUGGGAUGACCGAGACUGCUUCGAACUUGUAACCUGUGCCGGAUCGCGGGUUACUCCUGUCUGUCUAAUAGAUGGCGCGGAACCUUGACUUACCCCAAUAAGCCAUCAUAUCUUGUGAAGGCAUGCCAGGUGGCAUACGUUGAUUUUUUUGAAUCUCUUUCUGUGCAUUCUUAUACGAAUUGUUCUCCUCGAUGAAACUGCGCAAAUUGUCAGUAUUGCCGGUUGAACAAAGGUAGAAGAAAGGUCUUACCUGAAAAUAUGUCGCAUUCAUCUCAAACCUAGCGCCAAGUCAGUCACCGAGCCUUCUCCAUACUUGAGAAGCAGACAAACCCAUUCAGCAUAUCAAACGGUGCUGUCACUAUCUGUCCUCGAUAAUAUCAUUAACCAUCCACUCAAAACCUCAACAUUUGAAAGAAUGCACACCUUCGUCAUCAUCCCCCUCCAGGUAACAAUAUCCGCUUCGCAUUUCUUCUGCGUAUUCUGUUCCAACG
rnacentral:lncRNA from 1 species